UCUUCAUCACUGAUCUCACACUAUCCAAGCGACUUGUAUGUAUAUAGCCAUCUGACCCAAGGAUCGAUAUCAAACAUGACUUUUGGAAGAUUCUGAGAUCAAGCAAUAAUGAGAUAAAGGAAGUAGUAUGGAGUUGUGAGAGGGAAACAAAAGCCCUGACCCUACUGGCUUCAAUAUUUCCUUUUAAUAAUUACUAAAGUACUCUAAAAGUUGAGGUGUAUGAAUUCAUGGAGGAGUUUUACAUGCUAUUGAGCUAGAGUUCCCUAAAGCUAGAUUUACAAAGGUGCGCUGAUGGGAGUCAUCUCUAAAUGUCAUAAACUUUUCUUCCAAAACAAAUAUUAGAUGGUAAGUCCAUACUGAAUGAACUGGUUGAUUCUGCAAAGAAUUAUAUAUUGUUU